GCUUACGGCUAUACCACCCUGUCUGUGCCCGAUCUCGUCUGAUCUCAGAAGCUAAGCAGGGUCGGACCUGGUUAGUAUUUGGAUGGGAGAUUGCCUGGGAAUACUAGGUGCUGUAAGCU
ensembl:rRNA 5S_rRNA 5S ribosomal RNA